rnacentral:rRNA from 1 species
GAGUGAACGCUGGCGGUAGGCCUAACCCAUGCAAGUCGAACGGCAGCCCAGUAAGAGCUUGCUCUUACGGGUGGCGAGUGGCGGACGGGUGAGGAAUACAUCGGAAUCUACUUUUUCGUGGGGGAUAACGUAGGGAAACUUACGCUAAUACCGCAUACGACCUACGGGUGAAAGCAGGGGAUCUUCGGACCUUGCGCGAUUGAAUGAGCCGAUGUCGGAUUAGCUAGUUGGCGGGGUAAAGGCCCACCAAGGCGACGAUCCGUAGCUGGUCUGAGAGGAUGAUCAGCCACACUGGAACUGAGACACGGUCCAGACUCCUACGGGAGGCAGCAGUGGGGAAUAUUGGACAAUGGGCGCAAGCCUGAUCCAGCCAUACCGCGUGGGUGAAGAAGGCCUUCGGGUUGUAAAGCCCUUUUGUUGGGAAAGAAAAGCAGCAGGUUAAUACCCCGCUGUUCUGACGGUACCCAAAGAAUAAGCACCGGCUAACUUCGUG